rnacentral:lncRNA from 1 species
CCCAGUGAUGACCUCAAGGUGGCUGUCAACAACUCGUCAAUUGUUGAGAUGACAGCAACCUGCCCUUCAAGUGGACCACAGCUUGAAAUAGGCACCAGAACAAGACAGCAGACCUUGUGCAAUGCACUCUCCCACGGGCCUCCCAUUCCAAUUUCCCCUUUUUAAGCCUUUCUCCCCAGCCUAAAGUUUUAAGAGGUUUCUGGAGGCGUAAGGAUUCUAUUUAUGUUUAAUGAACAAAAAAAUUAGUUUCAAUGAAAACUUUAUUUGAAAUGAUGAAUUCAAGCUGUUACCAGCCUCCCAAGUAAGAUGCCAGAGACUUCAAACACUGCUGUUGUUUCUCAAGGAAAAGAUCCAGUUAACAAGGAAUCAUUCUCUCUUCUUCAAUAGCUGCUUACGAAAUAAAAACAUCAGUAGGAGGGGAAGGAGGAAGGAAGGAGAAGAAAGAGGAAGAAUAGGAGGAGAAGAGGAAGAGAGGAAGAAGUCGUGAACAGCCCUCCUGCAUUUUGCAUCAGGUAGAAAAGUCAGUUGAAUGUUGGGAAGAACACAAAUAAAAAUGCAAGAGAACAGCUAUCUUCACAGAUCCCGGAACAAAGGACAAAGGAUAGAACUAAAAGCGCCCCCCACCCGCCGCCCGGCACCAAAGGAGUCAUAUCUGAUUACUUCCUUUGGAAAGGCUAAUCAGAAACUGAAAAGAAUGUAACUGUUUGUGUCUCACCUAUCUGUGACCUGGAAGCUCCCUCCCAGCUUUGAGUCUUCCUGCCUUUGCUUCCAGUUGUUCUGCCUUUCCAGACCCAACCAAUGUACUUCUUAUAUCUAUUGAUUGAUGUCUCAUGUCUCCCUAAAUGUAAAAAUCAAGCUGUGCCCCAACUGCCUUGGGCACAUGCUAUCAGGACCUCCUGAGGCUGUGUCAUGGAUGCGUCCUCAAC